AGAGUUUGAUCCUGGCUCAGGAUAAACGCUGGCGGCGUGCCUAAUACAUGCAAGUCGAUCGAUAGAAGUCCAGCUUGCUGGACGGAAAUAGAGGCGAACGGGUGAGUAAUACGUAAGCAACCUGCCCACGAAGACUGGGAUAAUCCCUGGAAACGGGGACUAAGACCGGAUAGGUACACAGACCGCAUGAUCUGUGUAUUAAAGAUGAGAGACACUGGUGGAUGGGCUUACGGUGCAUUAGCUGGAUGGUGAGGUAACGGCCCACCAUGGCGAUGAUGCAUAGCCGGGCUGAGAGGCUGAACGGCCACAUUGGGACUGAGACACGGCCCAGACUCCUACGGGAGGCAGCAGUAGGGAAUUUUCGGCAAUGGGGGCAACCCUGACCGAGCAACGCCGCGUGAGUGAUGAAGGUCUUCGGAUUGUAAAGCUCUGUUGUAAGGGAAGAACGGCAUCUAGAGAAUAGAUGAGUGACGGUACCUUACCAGAAAGCUACGGCUAACUACGUGCCAGCAGCCGCGGUAAUACGUAGGUAGCGAGCGUUAUCCGGAAUUAUUGGGCGUAAAGGGUGCGUAGGCGGCCUGUUAAGUUUAUGGUGAAAGCGUGGGGCUCAACCCCAUAAAGCCAUAGAUACUGGCAGGCUAGAGUACUGUAGAGGGUAGUGGAAUUUCCAUGUGUAGCGGUAAAAUGCGUAGAUAUACGGAGACCACCGGUUGCGAGCCGCCUACUAGACGAGACUGACGCUGAGCCACGAAAGCGUGGGGAGCAAAUAGGAUUAGAUACCAUAGUAGUGCACGCUGUAAACGAUGAAUGCUAGGUAUCGGGGCGGCCCGGUGCCGAAACUAACGCGAUAAGCAUUCCGCCUGUGGAGUAUGCACGCAAGUGUGAAACAUAAAGGAAUUGACGGGGGCCCGCACAAGCGGUGGAGUAUGUGGUUUAAUUCGACGCAACGCGAAGAACCUUACCAGGCCUUGACAUCCCUUGCAAAAUCCUGGAGACAGGAUAGAGGUUAUCAAGGAGACAGGUGGUGCAUGGUUGUCGUCAGCUCGUGUCGUGAGAUGUUGGGUUAAGUCCCGCAACGAGCGCAACCCUUGUCUUUAGUUACUAACAUCAAGUUGAGGACUCUAGAGAGACUGCCGGUGAUAAACCGGAGGAAGGUGGGGAUGACGUCAAAUCAUCAUGCCCCUUAUGGCCUGGGCUACACACGUACUACAAUGGCUAUUACAACGUGCAGCGACAGCGCAAGCUGAAGCGAAUCACUGAAAGAUAGUCUCAGUUCGGAUUGAGGUCUGCAACCCGACCUCAUGAAGUUGGAAUCGCUAGUAAUCGCGGAUCAGCAUGCCGCGGUGAAUACGUUCUCGGGCCUUGCACACACCGCCCGUC
rnacentral:rRNA from 1 species